rnacentral:rRNA from 3 species
CAUUACCGAGUUUACAACUCCCAAACCCCUGUGAACAUACCUUAAUGUUGCCUCGGCGGAUCAGCCCGCGCCCCGUAAAACGGGACGGCCCGCCAGAGGACCCAAACUCUAAUGUUUCUUAUUGUAACUUCUGAGUAAAACAAACAAAUAAAUCAAAACUUUCAACAACGGAUCUCUUGGUUCUGGCAUCGAUGAAGAACGCAGCAAAAUGCGAUAAGUAAUGUGAAUUGCAGAAUUCAGUGAAUCAUCGAAUCUUUGAACGCACAUUGCGCCCGCUGGUAUUCCGGCGGGCAUGCCUGUUCGAGCGUCAUUUCAACCCUCAAGCCCCCGGGUUUGGUGUUGGGGAUCGGCUCUGCCCUUCUGGGCGGUGCCGCCCCCGAAAUACAUUGGCGGUCUCGCUGCAGCCUCCAUUGCGUAGUAGCUAACACCUCGCAACUGGAACGCGGCGCGGCCAUGCCGUAAAACCCCAACUUCUGAAUGUUGACCUCGGAUCAGGUAGGAAUACCCGCUGAACUUAAGCAUAUCAA